rnacentral:rRNA from 1 species
UACGUAGGGUGCGAGCGUUAAUCGGAAUUACUGGGCGUAAAGCGUGCGCAGGCGGUUCGUGAUGUCUGAUGUGAAAGCCCCGGGCUCAACCUGGGAAUGGCAUUGGAAACUAGCGGGCUGGAGUGUGGCAGAGGGGGGUGGAAUUCCACGUGUAGCAGUGAAAUGCGUAGAGAUGUGGAGGAACACCGAUGGCGAAGGCAAUCCCCUGGGCCUGCACUGACGCUCAUGCACGAAAGCGUGGGGAGCAAACAGG